UACGGAGGGUGCAAGCGUUAUCCGGAUUCACUGGGUUUAAAGGGCGCGUAGGUGGGCAAGUAAGUCAGUGGUGAAAUCUCCGGGCUUAACCCGGAAACUGCCAUUGAUACUAUUUGUCUUGAAUACUGUGGAGGUCAGCGGAAUAUGUCAUGUAGCGGUGAAAUGCUUAGAUAUGUCAUAGAACACCGAUUGCGAAGGCAGCUGACAAAACUGUAACUGACGCUGAGGCACGAAAGUGUGGGGAUCAAACAGG
rnacentral:rRNA from 1 species